GAUGAACGCUGGCGGCGUGCCUAAUACAUGCAAGUCGAGCGAACAGAUGAGGAGCUUGCUCCUCUGACGUUAGCGGCGGACGGGUGAGUAACACGUGGAUAACCUACCUAUAAGACUGGGAUAACUUCGGGAAACCGGAGCUAAUACCGGAUAAUAUAUUGAACCGCAUGGUUCAAUAGUGAAAGACGGUUUUGCUGUCACUUAUAGAUGGAUCCGCGCCGCAUUAGCUAGUUGGUAAGGUAACGGCUUACCAAGGCAACGAUGCGUAGCCGACCUGAGAGAGUGAUCGGCGACACUGGAACUGAGACACGGUCCAGACUCCUACGGGAGGCAGCAGUAGGGAAUCUUCCGCAAUGGGCGAAAGCCUGACGGAGCAACGCCGCGUGAGUGAUGAAGGUCUUCGGAGCGUAAAACUCUGUUAUUAGGGAAAAACAAAUGUGUAAGUAACUAUGCACGUCUUGACGGUACCUAAUCAGAAAGCCACGGCUAACUACGUG
rnacentral:rRNA from 1 species